rnacentral:rRNA from 1 species
AGAGUUUGAUCAUGGCUCAGGAUGAACGCUAGCUACAGGCUUAACACAUGCAAGUCGAGGGGCAGCAUGGUCUUAGCUUGCUAAGACCGAUGGCGACCGGCGCACGGGUGAGUAACGCGUAUCCAACCUGCCUUACACUCUUGGACAGCCUUCUGAAAGGGAGAUUAAUACAAGAUGUUAUCAUGAGUAAGCAUUUUCACAUGAUUAAAGGUUUACCGGUGUAAGAUGGGGAUGCGUGAUAUUAGGUAGUAGGCGGGGUAACGGCCACCUAGUCUUCGAUGGAUAGGGGUUCUGAGAGGAAGGUCCCCCANAUUGGAACUGAGACACGGUCCAAACUCCUACGGGAGGCA